CCACACGACUCUCGGCAACGGAUAUCUCGGCUCUCGCAUCGAUGAAGAACGUAGCGAAAUGCGAUACCUGGUGUGAAUUGCAGAAUCCCGCGAACCAUCGAGUCUUUGAACGCAAGUUGCGCCCGAGGCCACCAGGCCGAGGGCACGCCUGCCUGGGCGUCACGC
rnacentral:rRNA from 1 species